GCAAACCAGGCCCACCGGACAAUGCCUCCCUCCUAGCCUCCUUGAGAUCCGACUGUGGAGUUUGACGUUCCUCAUCCUCUCAUCCACUGGACCCACUGCCCACCUUCUCUCUUCAAACCCGUGCCCGAGUCUCGGGUCAAAUCCUUGGAGUGCGACUCUUAUUCCAGCGGCUGUCUCUCUCUGUAUACGAUGUAAUGUAGCUUGUAAGAUCGCUCUCUCUCUCUCACUCGCUGGCUCCUCCAUCAACCCCUUGGUAGCCUCUUCAAAUGAGGUUUGAUCAGACAAUUCUCUUCGGAGUGGCAUUC
rnacentral:lncRNA from 1 species